AUGUGGCGCACUUCUUUACCGGUGGCAGUGGUGGUGGUGGUGGCGGUGAUGGCGGUGAUGAUGGUGGGAGUCAACGCCAACCCACACCCAUACGGACUGAAUGUGCAGCUUCACCUAACGCGACGCUUCGGUGACGGAUGGAGUGUUCCUUAUUAUGGCGACACGAGCUUUGGUAACAGAGGAGGAGAAGGAGAAGAGUACGAGCAAUGAUACGACCACCUGUUCUCCACCACUCCACCAAUGACGACCUCUGGCUCCACCACCACCACACGACCACUAUGUAUACAUGUGUCUCCCUUCCCUCUACCCCUUCCACUAUUUCCCAUUCCUCCCUUUAACCACUCCGCUAAAUGUUAAAAUAUUAAUAUCAUAUCAUGUAAAUUUGUCAUAAUUAUAAGAUUUCUCUCUCUCUCUCUCUCUCUCUCUCUCUCUCUCUCUCUCUCUCUCUCUCUCU